UAAGUUGCUAGUUCUUAUUUGAUCCAAUGGGCCGGGUAUACGAAGGAGGUUCAUGUGCAUAUGAAAAUCAGUCCAAAUCUUCAAUCCAUCCAACAAUUUUAAUAUUUUCUGGAAAAACUUGAUUCCCGCAUCCCGCCACAAUGAAAAUCGGAUUUGUCGUCAUUUUUUCCAUGUCGCUGAUCAUCGUAACGGCAGCUCAAGGCCCACGAAAUUUCUGUCCCGACUUGGAAGACGCCUGCGGUGAGGCUGGUGGAGCACCAGUUCCAUGUGGGGAAAUCUUAGCCAAUUCGGUGAUUUGUAUCAAUCCGGAAUCGGGCAUUUUCGACGCGAGUUGCCGCGCCUUUGGAACAACCUGUUCAGUCGCAAUGGUUGGGAUUGAGCACAGGUGCACCUGCCCCGGUCAAUGACCAAAUUCAUUUUAAAGUUUGAAUUCUUGAGGAUUAAUGGCAAUGGAUAAAUCUAAACUAAAAUAAAAUAAAUCAAAUUAAGCAAUACUAAAUA